rfam:Atopobium rimae ATCC 49626 contig00001, whole genome shotgun sequence.
UGGAAGUUUCAGGGAUGGGUGCAAUUCCCUACUGGCGGUAACGUUUAAGCGCAUAACAGAAUGCGCCAUCAAACGAAGUCCGCGACCCGCGCAAGCGGCUGACUUGGUGAGAAUCCAAGACCAACGGUACAGUCCGGAUGAAAGAAGCGGAGA